rnacentral:rRNA from 1 species
CAGCAGCCGCGGGAAUACGUAGGGUGCAAGCGUUAAUCGGAAUUACUGGGCGUAAAGCGUGCGCAGGCGGUUUGUUAAGACGGAUGUGAAAUCCCCGGGCUCAACCUGGGAACUGCAUUUGUGACUGGCAGGCUAGAGUAUGGCAGAGGGGGGUGGAAUUCCGCGUGUAGCAGUGAAAUGCGUAGAUAUGCGGAGGAACACCGAUGGCGAAGGCAGCCCCCUGGGCCAAUACUGACGCUCAUGCACGAAAGCGUGGGGAGCAAACAGGAUUAGAUACCCGAGUAGUCCCUGUCUCUUAUAC